GACUCUCGGCAACGGAUAUCUCGGCUCUCGCAUCGAUGAAGAACGUAGCGAAAUGCGAUACUUGGUGUGAAUUGCAGAAUCCCGCGAAUCAUCGAGUCUUUGAACUAAGCGCCUCGGCCAUUCUCGCCGGUGGCACGCCCGCUCGCGUUCCA